GCCCCUACCCCUUCUCCCCUUCUUCCACCUAGGAAGGGGGGCGUGGAGGGAGCCGGGAUCAGCCAGGGGCCAGCAUGAGCCUGAGGGAGGGAAGUCUGGAAGACCCCCAGGCUGACUCCUCAGUCUCAUUCCUUCCCCACUUGGAGGCCAAGAUCCGCCAGACACACAGCCUUGCCCGCCUCCUCACCAAAUAUGCUGAGCAGCUGCUCCAGGAAUAUGUGAGUGGGAAUGGGGGUUUGGGUACCAAGGGCCUGGGAACGGGGAACCACAGGACACAGCGGUCCUCCAUCUCCCAUUCGCUUAAUCUCAUCCCCAGCUGUGGAAAUCCAGGCUUUGGAGAGGGAUGCACAGCAGACUGGAGGAGAACUCUGUCUGUGCCCCACAUGAUAACCUGUCUGCCUAAACUUGGAAGCUCCCUCCUUGGUGCUGAAAAUCAGAAACGGCCUGAGAGAGCAGGAACCUGACUGGGACUUAGGUUCUAUGCGAUUGUGUCACACAUGGAAGUGAACUGUUCUAACUAGAAUAUGCCCAGAGGCCAAGAAGGGGCUUCAACCUGGGCAAAAAUUGUGUCCCACAAAGGAACGUUUAGAGAGCAGAGGGGUCUGCCAAUAUUUUUGCCCAAAGAAAGAAGAUAAUCCUCUAAGCACCUUAGGGUGGUGGAAGAAGGCUGUAGUUUUGUAUCAGACAGACUGUAAACCUGCCUGAUUUAAGGCUUUGGCCGGUAAUGAUAAAAAUAAUGUAACAAUUAGGACAGUGGACAGUAUUUCCCCAAUGCUGAGUGUGAAAUAUUGUGUUUAAAGCAACAAACAUAAUGCCUGAGCCAGAGGCAAGAUGUUUACAAAGGGAAAUGUUAUUACAGCAUUUAACAAAUUGCAAAUCACUUUUAUCUUUCAUUUGUUUAUUCAAAUGAGAAUUAGUGACUCAUUGAGCCCCUGCUCGGUACACGUACAAAGGUUGGGGAGUACAGGAAGAGGAGUGUCUUCCACAUUUCUAAGAGGCCCUGGUAGAAAGAAAGAGUGGAGAGCAGUUCCCUCGCCACCUUACAGCUAAGAAGACUGGGGCUCCCAGGAGGCUUUGCAUAGAGUGGCUCAACUAGUAAGUGGCCAAGACGAGAUUUGAACCCUGGUCCGUCAGACGACAUUAAUAAAAGAGCCAACAUUUAUCGAGCCCUCCUGGGGCCAGGCCCUGUCUUAAGCACUUCACAUGCUCACCCCUGCCUCAGGAAGCGGACACUUACUGGCUCUGUACUGGGUAAGAGCAGACAAAGGCACCGGUGUGAGGCGCGUGUGCUUGGGUAACCGCUCAGACACUGCCCGGGCAGGAGGGGGUCUGUCUCCGCUGGCAGGAGCGCCCAGGGGCCGCGGAGAAGGCCGCGCCAGAUCUCGCC
rnacentral:lncRNA from 1 species